rnacentral:rRNA from 1 species
GACGUAGGACGCAAACGUUAUCCGGAAUUACUGGGCGUAAAGGGCGCGCAGGCGGCGCGGUAAGUGAGGCAUGAAAGCUCCCUGGCUAAACCGGGAGAGGAUGUCUGAGACUGCCGUGCUGGAGUGAGGUAGAGGGAUGUGGAAUUCCGCGUGUAGUGGUGAAAUGCGUAGAGAUGCGGAGGAACACCAGUGGCGAAGGCGGCAUCCUGGACCUCAACUGACGCUGAGGCGCGAAAGCAUGGGUAGCGAACGGG